AUCUCCUAAAGUAUUUGGAAUUUCUGAUCUCCGCCGGGUUUAAUGAAAAGAGGAAGUUAAAGAGCACAGAAUAAAGGCGAACAUCCGCCAAGGAUGUGAGGAAUAUGUCAACACAACGACGACAGAAUCGACGAACACAUUCAAAAUUAAAAUAUCAGACAACACAAGAAUUCCAUGGAAGAAAUUUAGUCACAAAAAAAACACAGACGAACAGUGGCCUAAUAAUGAUGGGACAGUUUCAACAAUAUCAGGAAAAGCAGACAGUCAACAGCAUUGGCAACGCAGCAAACAUACUAACACAACAAUGAAAAUAAACAGCCAUUCUCCUUCUCC